AACCCCUUCUUCUUCCUCCUCCUCUCUUUCUUCUCCUCAUCAGCUCCCUCCUCAUCGCUCGAAGAGCUGGAACUGGAGCUGCCGGAGUGGUGAAGCUUAUCGAGCAGAGUAUGCUUCUUCUCCUCCUCUGGCUUCUCAUCUUCUAUCUGUAUCUUCUCGACUCCGUUGACGAGAACCUCCUCGUCGGCCUUCUCCUCCUUCUUCUUGCCAAAGAAGUCAAACAGGCCCCGGUCCUGCACCUCGGUGCCCUCAACAGUGCGGCUUUG
rnacentral:misc_RNA from 1 species